AAGAUGGUUUCUGAAUUUGAAGCUUACUUUGCAGAUGAGAACGUGACUUAAAGCGGGGUGAACGGACCGUUCAUUCAGACAUCUUCUGAAACAUCAGGAUUCAUCAGGUCUACAGUGAAGUCAACAUGAAGACUCUCAGCCUGACAGUGGGACUGCUGCUCGUGCUGUUCACCGUUUACCACAGCGAUGCCUCUAAGGCAGUGAAUUCACCUGACUUUUGCUGUUUUCACUUCUUUGACAAACGGAUCCCAAAGGCGCACAUCGUCUCCAUCGUGAAAACUCACAGACAAUGCUCCACACCAGCAUUUGUGAUCAAGACACCCAGAAGGCUUUUGUGUGUUAAACAAACUGCAGAGUGGGCAAAGGAACAAUUUGUCAACCAAAAGAGAUAAAAAAAAUUGAACAAAUGCUACAAUUAACAGAUAAAAAAUCAUUAUGUUAAACCUCGGAUAAAUAAAUUUCAGUAUUUAGUAUAUGGACAAAAGUAUUGGAUCACAUCUGAAUCUCUGAAUUCAGGCAUUUUCAGUCUUGUUGCCACAGGUGUAUAAAAUCAAACAAAAUGCCAUGUAGUCUGCACAAACACUUGUGAACGACUGAGUUGUGUCAUGUUGACCCAGCUUGAUGUGACAAUAUCUCAAAGAGCUUCAUCUGAUGAGGAAAGUUUAUAAUGCAACAAUAUGUAUUGAAUUAUUUUACCCAUUAUUUCACUAUGCAAUUGAAAUAAUUUUUCUAUCACAUUGUGUUGUUUUGCUUUAUUCUUCAUUAAAGUUUCAUUUCACAAAACUCAUCGACUUCAUCUGAUAGUGAAUGGAAAAGUAUGUGUGGUUUGUGGCUCAGCUGCAGGGGAGGGGUGGAGCAGCGGGUGCAGGGUGUGGUGUCAGGGAAGGCUGAACCACACAGCUGAUCUCCAUUACCAGGUCAUGCCUUCCCUAUUUCACGAGGAUGCAGGGACCCGACGAGAGAGUGGUGUGGUGUGCU
ensembl:lncRNA